CCUCGUUGAAUGGAACAUUCCAUCUUUCACCUCAUGAAAAUAUUCUUACCAUUGCACUCAUAAACAUUCAUUAUUUUUAUAAUAUCACCACAGUUAAUAGACUGUGAUAUCACCAAUCGAAAACCCUUUGACCCGCUAAUAUGAAACUAUAGUUUUUCAUAUCUCUAAGGAUGGUUCUGAACGAAAUACAACCCGCUAAGUAAGAGGAGUGUUUCCGGAAUACUUUUACUAGUAACGUGAAGUAAAGAUAGCCCAUUCGGUCACACUGAAAGGGAUUAAAAACGAGAGAUAUUGUGGAUAGCGUAGGUCAUAGGUGAGAUCAGAUGAAUCAUUGGUGAAGGUAUGUCAGUCAUCUUGACAGUUUCAGGCAAACGUUGUGUAGUGUAAAGUGUAAAUCGAC
rnacentral:lncRNA from 1 species